GAUCAUGGAGAAAGGAAGCAGAGUGGGGGAGGCAACGUGGGAUCACGGAUGGACGUGCGAUCGCCUGGGAUUUGGGGGAGAAUCACGAGCGGAUGGAGUGCUGGGCUGCGUCCGAACGGGCGCUUGAACGAAGGCAUGGAUCCGGGUGAAGAGUUUCGGAGGAUCUCCCUUCAUUAUUUUGUGAAGUGCGGAAGAGAAGCGUUGGGGGCAUUGAUCACGGAAUGGAACUGGGAGGAUGCGGGAUCAUCAAAAAUUUGGGAUGCUGGCAGCUAUCGCGUUGAUGGCAUGGAGGAUUUGGAAGGGAUGCCACGGCUGCAGGUGCGGACGAGUCACGGGAUGCAGAUACGGGCUGAGAGCUGGAGACGCAUUUUGUAGAAGCUAGCACAGGGAUGACGCUGAUGUGGACAGUUGAUGGUCUAGUGAUGUUUUAUUGAAUGCAGGUUCGGAUGAGACGUGGACGGCCGGGAUUUCAUGCAUGCAUGGCAGCUGGAGAAUUUGUUGAGCUCGGGCUGCCGGGCAUUGGGCUCAAACCCAAUGUUAUUGGGUUUCCUGGAUUACUUGCACUUAAACACAAAUACAACGUUAAUUAAUUAAUUUUAUUAUUAAUGAUUAACUAUAAUACUAAUUAAGAUGGUACGACG
rnacentral:lncRNA from 1 species